CGUCGAACCAAGCAGAUCGUACUUCGCGACACCCAUCCAUUUUUAUCGUGGAAGAAUACUGCAAAUUUUCAAACUGAUUAUUUGAUCGGGACAUCGCCUGAUUUUGACGAUUACACAAAGGGUUAUUGAACUUUCCGAUUUCUUCGCAGACUGACAGAGUUCUCUGGGCCACUGGCAAAUUGCAUAGUCUAGGUCGAAAAUGGUUGGCUCACGAUCCUAAGGAAUGGAUCGAGAGACAACCUUCGAUUGGAUCCAGGGCUUCUAACCAUCACCAUCUUUGGGAGGAAGUUGUCAUGGCCAUCUACAUCUGACAGAUGACCAUAGCGUCAACACCCCCUCAGAUAUCGUACAAACUAACCAGAGUAAGACCCUUCCAUAUAACCAAAUCUUGUCAGACACACCAUCACUGUUGCUUUUAAAACCUUAUUAGUCAAGUAGAGAUAUCUAGUCAAAGUUCAAUAUGUUAUGUCAUCUGUUGUCGGAAAUUUUAAA